rnacentral:misc_RNA from 1 species
AUUUUAAUUUAAUUCAAACUAUAAAAAAAUUUUUUUAAUAAUCAAUCCUUUCGUACUAAAAUAUUAAAACCAAUUUAAAGAUAGAAACCAACCUGGCUCACACCGGUUUAAACUCAGAUCAUGUAAAAUUUAAAAGGUCGAACAGACCUAAUUUAACUAGCUUCUACACCAAUUAUUUAUUUUAAUCCAACAUCGAGGUCGCAAUCUUUUUUUUCGAUAAGAGCUCUCUAAAAAAAUUACGCUGUUAUCCCUAAGGUAAUUUUAUCUUUUAAUCAAAAAUAUUGGAUCAAAAAAUCAUACAUUAAUGUUUUCAACAAAAAAAGUUAAUUUAAUUUUUCAAUCACCCCAAUCAAAUAAAAUUUAAACUUAAAAUUUUAUAUUCCAAUAAAUAAUAAAAAUCUAAAUUUUAUAAAACUCUAAAGGGUCUUCUCGUCUUUCAAAAAAAUUUUAGCUUUUUCACUAAAAAAUAAAAUUCAAAAAAAUUUAAUUAGAGACAGUAAUUCCCUCAUCCAACCUUUCAUUCCAGCUUCUAAUUAAGAAACUAAUGAUUAUGCUACCUUAGCACGGUCAAAAUACCGCGGCCAUUCAAUAAUAAUUCAGUGGGCAGGCUAAACCUAAAAAUAAAAUCAAUAAGACAUGUUUUUAAUAAACAGGUGAAAAAUAUAAUUUGCCGAAUUCCUUUAACUAAACUCAAAUUUAUAAUCAAUUAAACAUUAUUAAUUUUAUACUAAUUUUAUCAUUAUUUCUUAAUAAAUUAAAAUU